rnacentral:rRNA from 1 species
GAGUUUGAUCAUGGCUCAGGAUGAACGCUGGCGGCGUGCCUAACACAUGCAAGUCGAGCGAUUUACUUCGGUAAAGAGCGGCGGACGGGUGAGUAACGCGUGGGUAACCUGCCUCAUACACAUGGAUAACAUGCCGAAAGGUAUGCUAAUACAGGAUAAUAUAAGAGAUUCACAUGGAUUUCUUAUCAAAGCUCCGGCGGUAUGAGAUGGACCCGCGUCUGAUUAGCUAGUUGGUAAGGUAAUGGCUUACCAAGGCGACGAUCAGUAGCCGACCUGAGAGGGUGAUCGGCCACAUUGGAACUGAGACACGGUCCAAACUCCUACGGGAGGCAGCAGUGGGGAAUAUUGCACAAUGGGCGAAAGCCUGAUGCAGCAACGCCGCGUGAGUGAUGAAGGCCUUCGGGUCGUAAAACUCUGUCCUCAAGGAAGAUAAUGACGGUACUCGAGGAGGAAGCCCCGGCUAACUACGUGCCAGCAGCCGCGGUAAUAC